GGCUUGAUAGCUCAGUUGUUAGAUCACUGCACUGGUAUCGUAGAGGUCAUGGGUUCGAAUCCCAUUCAAGCCU